ensembl:lncRNA
UUAACACUGGUGUCCAUAGAUUAGCAGGACCAUUUGUGAUUAUUCUCCCUGAGCGGCCUACACAGCACCUUCUGGAACUUCCAAACACCGGUCUGCAAGAAGGACACUUUCAGCCCACCACCCACCAGAAGUAGUGAAAAAGAAAGGAUACAGGGAGUGGAUCUGGUUAGAAAGGUUCUUUGGAGCAACUCCCAUCCCUGUUGCCUGGAAAUCGGCAGUUCAGCAGCGGUUUGAUCCAAUCGCAAACACUUUGCACCUACACUAGCAGUCCAGUUCGGUAGAGUCGGGAUAGCAAACACAAAUGAGCAGCGGUGGCAUGGCCUAGUAGAGACAGCCAGGCCUCAGCCUCAGCACAAGUCAGUAGGAGGGACCUGCUAUUCCUCUCUCAGCAAAUAGAAGAUCAGCAAAGACAGGAUACCAACAAGUGUUCAGCUAUGGAAGCAAGCCACGCUCCCAGCCUCCGUCACCAUCUGUUGAGUUCUGUUUAUAUUCCCUCUAAACAUCACAUGUCCUCUGUGUGUGCAUCUGUCUCAGCUGACAUUGCUCUGCAUGUCGGUCUUGGAAGUCCUUGGAAGUGGCAGGAAGCCGCAGCACACCUCUUUAUGGAGUCCUGACAAAUGGAGCCAACUAUGCAAUGGAAGGCAGACCAACCAAUACAUGUGUGUCAUUGACGAAGAAUCCUUCAUCGUGCACGUGCUUGCUUUAGCAGAACAUCCUUUCACCUGUGUCUGCUUCAGGAAAACAUUCCUUCGUUUGCCCCAGCAAAACACCAUCCAACACAACUGACUUUCCAAAGAACCUUUAAGUUUCCACUUCACACCCCUGACACUGAGAUUUUCAUUCAGUAGCUUUAUGGAUUCUGGGAGUGUCUUUUUUCCAUCCAUACUGGCUAAAGAGGGGAUAAUUGUCAGCCGCUGGGCUGACUGGUUUUCAGGGAUUACUGGUUUCAUUUAGUCCUUCCUUUACCCCUUUGUGAACUAUUACUCAGACUUAAAAGCCUCUGGAGACCACAAGCACUGAAUUUAGCUAUUUUUUUUCCCUCUAGAAACUCCCCUCAUAAAGAUCAUGACCCAUCAUGGGGACUUACCCGUCCCAAGGCCGCUACUGAAUUACCUCCCUUUCCUCACAAAUCUGUUUUAAAGUUUACAGGUGCAGGCAGUUGUAGGAUUUUCUUAAUCACCAUGCGGUGUAUCUGCACGCCAUUUGACCAUAAAACUCAGAACUUCACAGCUGUAAAUGGUCUUGCACCCUGUGCAGGUUGACGUCCCACUCUUGGUCCUUAAGUGCAUGUGCGCACCCCUCCAGAUGCUUUUCUAACCGUAAGGUAGUCAGAGGUGAGAGUUAUCUAGUAAAAACCUUCUCAUAGAUGGCGGGUAGACCUCCGAAGAACCACUAAGAAAGUGCCAGCUGCCUUAGAACACAGCAGCUAAAGGAAUACUUAGGAAAAGGGGGGCAGAGGAGGUAGUUCAGUAGGUGGAGUCCUAGUCUGGCAUGCACAAUCAGUAGCACCGUAUAAGCCAGACGUGGUGGUACACUCCUGUAUUUCCAGCACUCAGAAGCAGGAGGCAGAAUGAUCAAAGCUUCAAGGUCAUCCUUGGCUAGUUAGAGGCCAGACUGGGAUACAUGGGGUCAUGUCUCAAAACCAAAAAUGUG